rnacentral:rRNA from 1 species
AUUGAACGCUGGCGGCAGGCCUAACACAUGCAAGUCGGGCGCGCGGCGGACGGGUGAGUAAUGUAUGGGGAUCUGCCUGAUGGAGGGGGAUAACUACUGGAAACGGUAGCUAAUACCGCAUACCAUCAGAUGAACCCAGAUGGGAUUAGCCAUUAGGUGAGGUAACGGCUUACCUAGGCGACGGUCCCUAGCUGGUCGGAGAGGUUGAUCAGCCACACUGGAACUGAGACACGGCCCAGACUCCUACGGGAGGCAGCAGUGGGGAAUCUUGCACAAUGGGCGCAAGCCUGAUGCAGCCAGGCCGCGUGUAUGAAGAAGGCCUUCGGGUUGUAAAGUACUUUCAGUCGGGAGGCGUUACCGACAGAAGAAGCGCCGGCUAACUACGUGCCAGCAGCCGCGGUAAUAC